rnacentral:rRNA from 1 species
CCUACGGGGGACAGCAGUGAGGAAUAUUGGUCAAUGGACGAGAGUCUGAACCAGCCAAGUAGCGUGAAGGAUGACUGCCCUACGGGUUGUAAACUUCUUUUAUAUGGGAAUAAAAUGUUCCACGUGUGGGAUUUUGUAUGUACCAUAUGAAUAAGGAUCGGCUAACUCCGUGCCAGCAGCCGCGGUAAUACGGAGGAUCCGAGCGUUAUCCGGAUUUAUUGGGUUUAAAGGGAGCGUAGGUGGAUUGUUAAGUCAGUUGUGAAAGUUUGCGGCUCAACCGUAAAAUUGCAGUUGAAACUGGCAGUCUUGAGUACAGUAGAGGUGGGCGGAAUUCGUGGUGUAGCGGUGAAAUGCUUAGAUAUCACGAAGAACUCCGAUUGCGAAGGCAGUUCACUGGACUGCAACUGACACUGAGGCUCGAAAGUGUGGGUAUCAAACAGGAUUAGAUACCCUUGUAGUC